rnacentral:tRNA from 1 species
GGCCUCGUAGCUCAGCUGGUAGAGCAUGCGCGUACAAAGCGUAUGCAGUGCCCAUGCGUGGGUUCGAAUCCCCCCGAGGCUA